GCUUGGGGGAGCGACGUACAGGUGGAGUGUGCUGACCUCCUAGGCUUUGAGGCAGGUGGGAUCCGAGGCGGGAACUGAAUGGUGGACUACACAUGGCGCUCCACCCCCAGUCCCAGCCCCUCAAAGUAACGCCCUGUUUAUGCAGCGACGUCUUGACAGGUGUCUUCAUCUCAACGUUGUCCGUGCCCUCCUUUGAGAAGUCAGAGAACAAGGAUUGGGGGGGGGGGGGGGGGGGGGGAGGCACCACCCUCCAGAGAGUCUGGUGCUGUGGAGCACAAACAAGAGACCUCACAGGGGCUGGUCAUAAGAAGCCUAGUUCCACAGGGAGAAGGUGGCACAGCAUCCCAGGCAGAGGGAAUACAAGGUCAAAUGACUGACCUUGCCGGGCAGGGACUCUGUCCAUCAUGGCUGGAGUCAAGCCACUCCCGGCCACAAAGAUUAAGUUUGUAUUUCCUCCAAUAACCCACACAAUUAUAGAAAACUAGAGUUGAAGAGGACCUUAGCACUCAUCUAAUCCCCACUUUCAUUGCUCUACAAGGGGGACCAAGGUCCAGAGAAUUGGAAUGACUUUGCAGAUUCCACAGACAUCCAGCACUGGACAGUCCCCCAUUUGCCCUUGUACAGGCCAGCACUUCUCUCAAAUACAGCCAUCUUUUGGAGGCAACUGGAGAAGGAAAAAUGUCAGUCGGAGAAGUGCUGAAGGAAAUGCAGACACCCUCUAUGUGGUGUUGCAACUCCGUAUUUCUAAACCUACUUUGCAGAUGGAAACUGAGCCCCUGUUUUCAAGUUCUGGGAAUUUUUUCUUUUCUCAUCUUCCUCUGUCUUUUGGCAUUUUGUUCUUAUCCCAUUUGCAAACAACUCUGAGAAUGCCUAAGGUGGCAAUCCUGAGCUAGAGGAGGUGUGGAGCAAAAGCAAAUAAACAUGUCCUUUGAUACUUUAUUAUUUCUCUCAGAGUAUAGAAUGACUUAGAGAGCUGCAGAAUUCCUGGUUACUGGUAUUGCUAAGAGAGCCACAACCCCAUGCCAGAAUAAUCUUGUAAAGGGAUUGAAGGUAGGUGAGGCUAGUCCUCCCAAAGGAGGGGUGGGGAAGGAGAGGGUCCUUUUAAUUAAAGGGCAGAGGGUCAGGCACUCUCUCUGACUAAGAUAGGAGAGAGUUUUGACAUCUGCACAUGCAAUUCACCUUUAAAGAAUGAUUUCCUCACUGGUGAACUAUAACGUGCUUUUCUAUAUCAGUGUGAAAUCGACAUCUGUAGAUGUUCUUUGCACCCUCCUAGCUUGAAACAAUAAAGAGUACAGGUGUAACACAGUUUAUGAAAUUCCAUUAUACAAUUUUUCAGAGUUGCAAAACAGAUAAAGCCCAGUUUUGCAAAUUUAUUUAACUGCAUGAUCAGAAGAGAUCAUAAAAAUAUAUACUUUUCC